rnacentral:rRNA from 1 species
GUGAAAUACAAAUCGGACUAGCAUAUAGCUGGUUUUCUGCGAAAAUUGUUUUGGCAAAAUGUUUAUUCCUCUAAAAAAUAGUAGGUAUAGCACUGAAUAUCUCGAGGGAGUAUGAAAAUAUUUAUCUCAGAUAUUUAAUCUCAAAAUAACUAUUUCUUAAAAUAAAUAAUCAGACUAUGUGCGAUAAGGUAGAUAGUCGAAAGGGAAACAGCCCAGAACAGUAAUUAAAGCUCGCCAAUUAAUAUUAACUGAAAUAAAAGUUGUUGGAU